rnacentral:lncRNA from 1 species
UCAUUCACCACCCCCUCCAGUCAAGUCUCCUCCUCCACCGUACCAUUACUCCUCACCACCACCUCCGGUGAAAUCCCCACCACCACCAUACCUAUACAACUCUCCACCGCCACCAGUAAAAUCUCCCCCACCUCCAGUCUACAUCUACGCUUCUCCGCCACCUCCCACACAUUACUAGGCUCGUCAAAUUCAACAAAAUUUCCCCAUUAUUCAAGUAAGUCCAACACUCCUAUAGCUACACUCUCAACUUUAAUUAAUCCAUCAUGCAUGCAUCCGUUUUAAUAGGUAGCGUUCCCUAAAUAAAAUAUCUCAAUUACUUGUACACAGGUUUUCUUUUUAAAAAUGAAAUAAAGGAAGGGUCAAAGUCAAAGAGGAGAAGAAGUGAACCAAAUAAGGAUCGUCGCGUGGAAAUCAGAAAGGAUACAUCUAUAACAACGAACCACAUCAUCACUUCGUCUUCUUCAAUGUCGCUCAUCUUCCACUUGUGCAUCAUUCUCUUUGCGUCUUCAUCAAGUGAAAUUGUUUCCAAGACCCUUUUAGAUCGUAUCAUACUCUUUCUUUGUUCCCUUUUGUUGUUAAGUGAAAAAAAAAAUGGGGUUUUGGUAAUUUAAUUGUUGUGCAUACAUUUGCUAUUUUGUUAUUCUUGUAAUGAGAGAGGUGUUAGCAUAUAAAACAAGGUUCAAUUUUCUUCUU